rnacentral:misc_RNA from 1 species
GAUGAAGAACGCAGCGAAAUGCGAUAAGUAGUGUGAAUUGCAGAAUUCAGUGAAUCAUCGAAUCUUUGAACGCACAUUGCGCCCCUUGGUAUUCCAUGGGGCAUGCCUGUUCGAGCGUCAUUUGUACCUUCAAGCUUUGCUUGGUGUUGGGUGUUUGUCCCGAGGGACUCGCCUUAAAGUAAUUGGCAGCCAGUGUUUGGUUUUGAAGCGCAGCACAAGUCGCGAUUCAAGGCUACACGCCCGCUUCCACAAGCCUUUUUUCACUUUUGACCUCGGAUCAGGUAGGGAUACCCGCUGAACUUAAGCAUAUCAAUAAGCGGAGGA